UGGGGAAUCUUCCGCAAUGGACGAAAGUCUGACGGAGCGACGCCGCGUGAGUGACGAAGGCCCUUGGGUCGUAAAGCUCUGUCAUUGGGGACGAACGGUCACAUCAGGAAAUGGGUGUGAAGUGACGGUACCCGAGAAGGAAGCCACGGCUAACUACGUGCCAGCAGCCGCGGUAAUACGUAGGUGGCGAGCGUUGUCCGGAAUUAUUGGGCGUAAAGCGCGCGCAGGUGGGAUCUUAAGUCUGUUCUCAAAGUUCGGAGCUUAACUCCGUGAUGGGAUGGAAACUGGGAUUCUUGAGUACCGGAGAGGAAAGCGGAAUUCCCCGUGUAGCGGUGAAAUGCGUAGAUAUGGGGAGGAACACCAGUGGCGAAGGCGGCUUUCUGGACGGUGUCUGACACUGAGGCGCGAAAGCCAGGGGAGCGAACGGG
rnacentral:rRNA from 1 species